rnacentral:tRNA from 1 species
GCGGGUGUAACUCAGUGGUAGAGUGUCACCUUGCCAAGGUGAAAGUCGCGAGUUCAAAUCUCGUCUCCCGCUCCA